GAUGAAGAACGCAGCGAAAUGCGAUAAGUAAUGUGAAUUGCAGAUUUCAGUGAAUCAUCGAAUCUUUGAACGCACCUUGCGCCUUGUGGUAUUCCACAAGGCAUGCCCGUUUGAGUAUCAUUAAAUCAUCAACUCUAAAACCUUUGUGGUUUUUUUUAGAGCUUGGUCUUGAGGGUUUUGCAGGCUUUUUUUUUUUUUUUCGAGUCUGCUCCCUUUAAAUGCAUUAGCGAGACUUCCCUAUGCUGAACCGUCUCUUUGACGUGAUAAUUAUCUGCGUCGAAUUUUGGUUCUCGUUGGGCUUGCUUCUAAUCGUCUGUUAAAGACAAAACGGAUUUGGGUGCAUAUAUGCGCCUUUUUCCAAAACCUUUUUUUGAUCUCAAAUCGGGUAGGACUACCCGCUGAACUUAAGCAUAUCAAUAAGCGGAGGA
rnacentral:misc_RNA from 1 species